AAAGAAGCAUUCAACUUUCAUGGUAAACAACAAAAAGAUAAUCAGAAGACAAAAUUCCAACCCAAAUCUUAAAAUCUGGCUAAAUGAGGCAUAAAGACCAAAACUACGAACUCAAAACUCACUCACACAACUCUCGGAUCAAAAGACCACAAUACAUUCCAAAUAAAAGGAACACCUAUUUCAGAGACGAUUGUUAAAAAGAAUAUCAAACUGGAAUAUGAAUAACAAUAUAUAAUCACAGAUCCAACUAAAAACUCACUUUUACACUGUUAACAAAUAUAUCUAAACAUAAAAUGCUCGGUAAUUAAAAAUCAAAAUAAAUCAGUU
rnacentral:misc_RNA from 1 species